GCNUGAGGGAUGACGGCCUUAGGGUNNUAAACCUNUUUUNCCAGAAGGGAGACCGACUGGAGAANAAGCNCCGCUAACUACGUGCCAGCAGCUGCGGUAAUACGUAGGGUGCGAGCGUUGUCCGGAUUUAUUGGGCGUAAAGAGUUCGUAGGCUUUUUGGUAAGUUAUGUUUCAAAGACCGGGGCUUAACCUCGGAAAGGGGCAUAAUACUGCCAGAAUUGAAGGAUGUCGGGGNUACUGGAANNUCGGUGUAGGGGUGAAAUCCGUUGAUAUCGACAAGAACACCAAGGGCGAAGGCGGGUAGCUAGGCAUUUCUUGACGCUGAGGAACGAAAGCUAGGGUAGCGAAAGCGAUUAGAGACCGCUGUAGUCCUAGCCGUAAACGAUGCUCGCUAGGGAUGGGGAAUUUAUUUUUCCGUCUCGCAAGCUAACGCGUUAAGCGAGCCGCCUGGGGAGUACGGUCGCAAGACUAAAACUCAAAGGAAUUGACGGGGACCUGCACAACCAGUGGAGCAUGUGGUUUAAUUCGAGACGAACCGAAGAACCUUACCUGGACUUGACAUACUAGUUGCACAUCACCAGAGAUGGUGACUCUUUCGAAGGUACUAGAACAGGUGCUGCAUGGCUGUCGUCAGCUCGUGUCGUGAGGUGUUCCCUUCAGUGGGGUAACGAGCGCAACCCCUGCCGUAUGUUGAAUAUUCAUACGGGACUGCCCGAGUCAUUCUCGGGAGGAAGGCGGGGACGACGUCAAGUCAGCAUGGCCCUUAUGUCCAGGGCUACACACAUGCUACAAUGGAGCCGACAAUGGGUUGCCAAGCGGUAACGCGGAGCUAAUCCCAUCAAACGGCUUCUCAGUGGGGAUUGAGGGCUGCAAUUCGCCCUCAUGAACGUGGAAUUGGUAGUAAUCGCGGAUCAGCCAAGCCGCGGUGAAUACGUUCUCAGGUCUUGCACACACCGCCCGU
rnacentral:rRNA from 1 species